rnacentral:rRNA from 1 species
AUUGAACGCUGGCGGCAUGCCUUACACAUGCAAGUCGAACGGCAGCACGGGAGCAAUCCUGGUGGCGAGUGGCGAACGGGUGAGUAAUAUAUCGGAACGUGCCCAGUAGUGGGGGAUAACUGCUCGAAAGAGCAGCUAAUACCGCAUACGACCUGAGGGUNAAAGGGGGGGAUCGCAAGACCUCUCGCUAUUGGAGCGGCCGAUAUCAGAUUAGCUAGUUGGUGGGGUAAAGGCCUACCAAGGCAACGAUCUGUAGUUGGUCUGAGAGGACGACCAGCCACACUGGAACUGAGACACGGUCCAGACUCCUACGGGAGGCAGCAGUGGGGAAUUUUGGACAAUGGGCGAAAGCCUGAU